rnacentral:rRNA from 1 species
ACGGGAGGCCGCAGUGGGGAAUAUUGCACAAUGGGGGAAACCCUGAUGCAGCGACGCCGCGUGAGUGAAGAAGUAUUUCGGUAUGUAAAGCUCUAUCAGCAGGGAAGAUAAUGACGGUACCUGACUAAGAAGCCCCGGCUAACUACGUGCCAGCAGCCGCGGUAAUACGUAGGGGGCAAGCGUUAUCCGGAUUUACUGGGUGUAAAGGGUGCGUAGGUGGUAUGGCAAGUCAGAAGUGAAAACCCGGGGCGCAACCCCGUGGAUUGCUUUUGAAACUGUCAAACUAGAGUACCGGAGAGGUAAGCGGAAUUCCUAGUGUAGCGGUGAAAUGCGUAGAUAUUAGGAGGAACACCAGUGGCGAAGGCGGCUUACUGGACGGUAACUGACACUGAGGCACGAAAGCGUGGGGAGCAAACAGGAUUAGAUACCCUGGUA